GAGACUUGAGAAAUGAAGCAGUCAAAUAGCUUGCAAUCAACCAAUUACAAGGUGAAGAUGUGUCCUCUUUAAACUGAUUCUUUGUUAUCAAAAGGAAUUUUGGUAGAUUCAUGGGCAUUCAAUCCAACUUGAGAAAAAACCACUGUCCUCAUGGUGGAAGGGAGUUUCCAUGGGGUUUGGAUCUCAGGUUUCACUUCUACGAGAAGAGAAGGUGAAGAUUUAGGCAUACUUCAAUGUGUUUUUGUUUUCUACGCCUUAGUUUCUGUUUAUCAUAAGUUUUCCAUAGCAUAGAACUUCAAGACUCUCUAAUAUACUUAAAAACAUUUCAUGGCAUUCUUUAUAAUAAAUUUUAUUUAUGCUUUAAUUGUUGAGAUCCUUUUUCUCUUGGGUAUUUUUAAUACUAUAAAUCCUCUAUCCGAGUGCUUCACUGAAGUAAAUGACCAUUAAUCUUUGCACAGCAUUACCAUCAUGAUAGAAGCAUGUUUAUGAGAACCUUUAAAAAGUGGAUACAAUUUAUAAAAGUGUUUAUGAAUGUCUUCUGAAGACAAUGAUGUUUUUUUAGGACUUGAUAAACACCAAGCUGAUUCAAGAAGAAUGCUUAAUUAGUUCACCAAUCUUCAUUCUCCAGAGCUUUCCAGAGGAGGGUUGUUGGCUUAUCAAGAGAUUGAGUUUAUUGAGCAAAUAUUAAUGCAGGCAAGUGAAUUGUGAACCACACUCAUCUUUAUAUAAUCUAUCAAACAUUGGCCGGUUUUUUUUCCUUGACAAGAGCAAUUAUUUGAUAUAUGCUAGCAAAUGUGUUUCUGAUAUACAUCUUUCUUACAGGAGACUUGAAAUCAUACUCUCAUUGUCGUACACCACUCUCAUCCAACAUCUAAAUAUACUCAAAUCCAACAUCUGCAUUUUUGUAUGCUUCCAGAGGCAACAAAUAAAUUAGCACACUCAAUUAGAAGGCUUAUUGGAUUUAAGUGAGUGAGUGAGGUAUGUUUCAAUCAUUU
rnacentral:lncRNA from 1 species